rnacentral:lncRNA from 1 species
GCAGAACCCACCAUAUGCCAAGGGUGUUACAAACAGAUCUCAUCCUGCCUGGGAAAACUUGACACUCUGCCUGGUGCGGGGAUUGGGAGGCUAACCAAGGGAGCAUGGAAUCCCCUCUGCAGUUAUGUUUGCUUGUGCAUCUCCGGCAGCUGGAGGACGAAUCAUAUCAAGCUGAUGAGUGUGUCACACUUUUCAUCCCCCAAGAGCUGCAAUGAAGACCAAGACAAACAGUAGAUUAACAGUGCUACCUUUUAUAAGACUGAUUAGUUCCUAAAAUAUGCUGAAAGGAAACAAAACCAAAAAGAAAAGAGUGGAAAGGGGGGUGAGACAGAAACCUUUGUCGGUGAGUUUGAAACAGCUCCAUUUCUUUCAUUAGUUGCAGAUAUUGACCUUCCGAUGAAAUAUUUUCUUUGUGUGAGAAGGCUUUGCCAAGGUUGCAUUUAUUAGGCAGGUGCCUGGUAAGUGUUUCUAAGCAAAUAUUACUUUACUGCCUAAUUUUGAUUUAAGGGGAGAGUUGUACCAGGGAUGAAUUUGGAAAACAUUUGAUGAUGGUUCAUCUGCCGCCCCUUAGAGCAGGGGCUAUCAAGUGGUUG